rnacentral:tRNA from 1 species
GGCUCCGUAGCUCAACUGAAUAGAGCAUCUCACUACGGAUGAGAAGGUUUCAGGUUUGAAUCCUGACGGGGUCA